rnacentral:rRNA from 1 species
AUUGAACGCUGGCGGCAGGCCUAACACAUGCAAGUCGAACGAGUGGCGGACGGGUGAGUAAUGUCUGGGAAACUGCCCGAUGGAGGGGGAUAACUACGGGAAACAGUAGCUAAUACCGCAUACCAUCGGAUGUGCCCAGAUGGGCUUAGCUAGUAGGUGGGGUAACUGCUCACCUAGGCGACGAUCCCUAGCUGGUCUGCGAGGAUGACCAACCAAACUGUAACUGAGACACGGUCCAGACGCCUAGGGGGGGCAGCAGUGGGGAAUAUGGCACAAUUGGCGAAAGCCUGAUGCAGCCAUUCCGCGUGUAUGAAGAAGGCCUUCGGGUUGUAAAGUACUUUCAGCGAGGAGGCGUUACGCGCAGAAGAAGCACCGGCUAACUCCGUGCCAGCAGCCGCGGUAAUAC